AGCCUACAUCUGAGAUAUUAUGAGCUGUUGACUGUAAUGGCAAUACAUAUUUGCCGUGAUCAACAAAUACUUUUUGGUCUCCUGAUGCCUUAUUUUUGCGUGCUUUAACCAUCCAGCUACAGUCUGUAGAUGACGGGAGAGUACGCUGUGGCAGGGGAGGGACAGAAAUUAAGGGACAAAUACAUUGCGUUUACUGCUAAAAUAUACGAGAUUGGUGAGGAAGGAGAAGAAUAGUCAGUAACCAGACAGUUUUUGGUCCCAUUGACUUCCAUAGUAGGAAAAAAUGUAUACUAUGGAAGUCAAUGGGACCAGAAACUGUCUGGUUACUGACAUUCUUCUAAAGACCCGGAGAUCCGCUGAAUGGAUUCAAAAACGAUAAAACUCAACUGUUUAACUUUGGGGCAGUUGUAAAAUGAGAGUAUCCCUUUAACGCUGCAAAUUUGUAAUACUUUGCCAGACUGCUCGUCUCGCCACCAUUGGAGGGACUACCCUAGAGGUGAGGGUCCGCCGUAUGAUGGCACACCUGUUGUCGAAUGAACUGGCUCCAAGACUGAACUGGGCUGGAAAAAAGAACAAGGAGCCUACUAAACAAAAACGUCCCUUUAAAGAGUUGGCACUCUGCCGAUCUUUGUUUGGUGCAGAGCGGACAACGCAUCACGACACCGUCACAGCAGAUGACCUACUAACCGAACACACUCUUCUCUCUCUUCUCUCUCCUGAUGUUAACGGCGGUUGGCAUCCAACUUCAAUGGUGCAUUACCGCCACCUACUGUACUGGAGUGUGAACCGGAGCUAGACAAAGAGAAACUAAAACUAAAUGGAGACUUCCAACUCUCUUCCCCACCUUUAAUUAAUAAUUAAAAAAAUAAAAUAAAUUUAGAUUUCCAAAAUUGUCUUCUAUAUUCUAUUUGCUAUCCCUGUGUCCUUAAGGAAGGUAAAUAAAUGAGUACUGAUAUCAUUUGAAGUUAAUCCCAGAAGUUCCUUAAGUGAAUUCCCUUGCACCCCCAAAUUCCUUAUGCUUUCUUUCAUCUUUAUCCUUUCUCGAUCAUAUUUUUGGCAUUCAAGUACCACAUGUUCAACAUAUUCAAUACUGUCACAAAAUUCACAUCUUCCUGUUACAUGCUUACCUAAAAUAUGUAAGCACUUAUUUAACCCACAAUGUCCAAUCCUUAACCUAGUGAAAAUUAUUUCUUCCCUUUGACUCCUUCCAGUGAUCCUCUCUGUCUCAACCUUCUGUUGUAUUCUGUAUAAAUGUCUCCCUUUCUCCUCUAUAUCCCAACCACUCUGCCACUUUUUCAUAAUUUCCAUCCAGAU
rnacentral:lncRNA from 1 species